rnacentral:rRNA from 1 species
AUUGAACGCUGGCGGCAUGCCUUACACAUGCAAGUCGAACGGCAGCGGGGGAGAAGCUUGCUUUUCCUGCCGGCGAGUGGCGAACGGGUGAGUAAUACAUCGGAACGUGCCCUGUAGUGGGGGAUAACUAGUCGAAAGAUUAGCUAAUACCGCAUACGACCUGAGGGUGAAAGUGGGGGACCGCAAGGCCUCAUGCUAUAGGAGCGGCCGAUGUCUGAUUAGCUAGUUGGUGGGGUAAAGGCCUACCAAGGCGACGAUCAGUAGCUGGUCUGAGAGGACGAUCAGCCACACUGGGACUGAGACACGGCCCAGACUCCUACGGGAGGCAGCAGUGGGGAAUUUUGGACAAUGGGCGAAGGCCUGAUCCAGCAAUGCCGCGUGUGUGAAGAAGGCCUUCGGGUUGUAAAGCACUUUUGUCCGGAAAGAAAUGGCUCUGGUUAAUACCUGGGGUCGAUGACGGUACCGGAAGAAUAAGGACCGGCUAACUACGUGCCAGCCGCCGUAAUAC